GAGAGCAGAGUAUACCGCAGACAUCAUUUCUACUACAGUGGCGGAGCCGUACAGGACCUGUUUCACUGCAGGGAGAUCCAAAACAAGCCCUGUGGAGCCGCAGCUAGAGCCACAGCAGCCGCAGGACACUGUGUCUCUCUCUCUGUCCCCCCUUCCCCACGCAACCCCAGAUCCAUUUACACUUUACAAAGCAGCCUACAUCCUGCAACAAGUCACCAGGGCAGUCCCUCCAAGCUGCAGAUCUGUCUGUCAUCUGUGUCUAACCGCCUCUUCGUCCAUCCCCUCUGCAGGGAAGAGCAUCACGUUCAGACUGCAGCAUCCUGGAGCAGAAUGAAAGACGCUGCGUUGCAACUUCAAAAGUAGGGUUGCAGUAGACCCUGAGCGAAGCAGAGUGGACUCCAGCCUACACGAAUGAGCUUGAAGCAGGAAUGGUUUUGGGUUCAGGCCUCUUACCCUGAGUUUCUCGACAGCCACCCCGUCUAUUCAAGCAAACUCUUCAAGAAAAGGUCCCCGGGGAAGGGAGUGGCUGCCUGUGGCUUCUCACUGGGAUGAAGGCCAGUGGUACAGUUUUCCAAAGAAAAUAGACCAAAACUUUCUUCUUGAGAAGAAACCCACCUGCUGUUGGCAAAGG